UAAAAAAAGAUGAAAAGAUGAGUACAUUUUUAAUAAUUGCCAAUUAGAAAUCUUCGGUAGCUGAAAAGAAGAGCAAUUAAAAAAUGGAAGAUGGUCUUGGUAUUCGGGUGGUCGAGCAAGUUGUAAGACCACCAUGGUGCGCUCAUUAUGGCGUAAUGUUCUUACAUGAGAAAGCAUGCUCGUAUGCUUUAAAUUAAGGUGGUACCACGACAAGUCGUCCUUAUU
rnacentral:ncRNA from 1 species